AGCAGCCGCGGUAAUUCCAGCUCCAAUAGCGUAUAUUAAAGUUGUUGCAGUUAAAAAGCUCGUAGUUGAAUUUCGGGAUUGACCCAUCGGUCGUGCCUUAAGGGGUAUGAACUGGUGUAGUCAAUUUCUCACCUUCUGGAGAACCGUGAUGUCCUUAAUUGGGUGCCACGAGGAACCAGGACCUUUACUUUGAAAAAAUUAGAGUGUUUAAAAGCAGGCAUUUUUGCUUGAAUACAUUAGCAUGGAAUAAUAAAAUAGGACGGCAUGAUUCUAUUUUGUUGGUUUCUAGGAUCACCGUAAUGAUUAAUAGGGAUAGUUGGGGGCAUUAGUGAUUCAAUUGUCAGAGGUGAAAUUCUUGGAUUUAUUGAAGACUAACUACUGCGAAAGCAUUUGCCAAGGAUGUUUUCAUUAAUCAAGAACGAAAGUUAGGGGAUCGAAGACGAUCAGAUACCGUCGUAGUCUUAACCAUAAACUAUGCCGACUAGGAAUCAGACGAUGUUAAUUUUUUAAUGACUCGUUU
rnacentral:rRNA from 1 species